CUCUCUCUCACACACGUCAAACAAGAUAUGAAGAAAAACAAACAAUAAACAAAACAUAACAAGCACGAAAUCAUCUAAUAAAACAACACUAACAAUAAAGAAUAACAAAAACAACAACACCGGCCUGACAGUAUUGCCAACCCAAGACGUAAAAGAAUGGGAAAAAACUUCACAGGCAUUCUCUAGUCUCUACGCUUCCUCUCCCACGCCUCAACUAAUUCCCAAGACCAAAAAGGAGAUUAAUCGGGUUCUAACGAGUGUUUUCUCAGGUUCAUGGUACAGAGGAAAGGUCAAUCUACCACCAGGGUCAUAAAACUACCCCUGGAAAUGCCCACAACUCCUACGAAAGCCUUGUCAAAUAUGUGUUUCUUAUGUUCAUGGUACAGAAGAAGGGUCAAUCUACCACCAGGGUCAUAAAACUAGCUCUGGAAAUGCCCACAACUCCUACGAAAGCCUUGUCAAAUAUGUGUUUCUUAUGUUCAUGGUACAGAGGAUGGGUCACUACCACCAGGGUCAUAAAACUACCCCUGGAAAUGCCCACAACUCCUACGAAUGCCUUGUCAAAUAUGUGUUUCUUAGGUUCAUGGUACAGAGGAAGGGUCAAUCUACCACCAGGGUCAUAAAACUACCCCUGGAAAUGGCUACAACUCCUACGAAAGCCUUGUCAAAUAUGUGUUUCUUAGGUUCAUGGUACAGAGGAAGGGUCAAUCUACCACCAGGGUCAUAAAACUACCCCUGGAAAUGGCUACAACUCCUACGAAAGCCUUGUCAAAUAUGUGUUCUUUUAGGUUCAUGGUGCAGAAUAAGGAUCACACUACCACCAAGGUCACGAGACUAGCUCCGGAAAUGCCCACAACUCCUACGAAAGCCUUGUCAAAUAUGUUUCUUAGAUUCACGGUACAGAAGAAGGGUCAGACUACCCCCAGGGUCAUAAAACUACCCCUGGAAAUGGCUACAACACCUACGAAAGCCUUGUCAAAUAUGUGUUCUUUUAGGUUCAUGGUACAGAAGAGUGAUCACACUACCACCAAGGUCACGAGACUAGCUCCGGAAAUCCCCACAACUCCUACGAAAGCCUUGUCAAAUAUGUGUUUCUUAUGUUCAUGGUACAGAGGAUGGGUCACACUACCACCAGGGACAUAAAACUACACAUGGAAAUGCUCACAACUCCUACGAAAGCCUUGUCAAAUAUGUGAACUUGGGCGUCGAACUGUUAAAAAAAUAUGACCCCUCAGUUCCCUGUUUGAAAAGCCUGUCAUGGAAGAUGCUGGGCUUUCCCUGGAGUGUUUAGUGAUGCUGAUGAUAGCCUGACACUCAUUCUGAACCUUGAACGAGAAAAUAACCCACGAGAACUAGCCUAGUCUUCUGGGCACCCAUGAAAACUAGGCUAGUCUUGUGUGCACCCAUGAAAACUAGGCUAGUCUUCUAUGUGUACCCAUGAAAACUUGGCUAGUCUUCUCUGUGUACCCAUGAAAACUAGGCUAGUCUUGUGUGCACCCAUGAAAACUAGGCUAGUCUUGUGUGUACCCAUGAAAACUAGGCUAGUCUUCUGUGUACCCAUGAAAACUAGGCUAGUCUUCUCUGUGUACCCAUGAAAACUAGGCUAGUCUUCUCUGUGUACCCAUGAAAACUAGGCUAGUCUUCUCUGUGUACCCAUGAAAACUAGGCUAGUCUUCUCUGUGUACCCAUGAAAACUAGGCUAGUCUUCUCUGUGCACCCAUGAAAACUAGGCUAGUCUUCUCUGUGCACCCAUGAAAACUAGGCUAGUCUUGUGUGUACCCAUGAAAACUAGGCUAGUCUCGUGUGCACCCAUGAAAACUAGGCUAGUCUUGUGUGCACCCAUGAAAACUAGGCUAGUCUUGUGUGCACCCAUGAAAACUAAGCUAGUCUUGUGUGUACCCAUGAAAACUAGGCUAGUCUUGUGUGCACCCAUGAAAACUAGGCUAGUCUUCUCUGUGCACCCAUGAAAACUAGGCUAGUCUUGUGUGCACCCAUGAAAACUAGGCUAGUCUUCUCUGUGUACCCAUGAAAACUAGGC